rnacentral:rRNA from 1 species
AGGAAGAAGGCUUCGGGUUGUAACUGCUUUUGUCGGAGCGAAAAGGCUCUCUCUAAUACAGGGGGCUCAUGACGGUACCGUAAGAAUAAGCACCGGCUAACUACGUGCCAGCAGCCGCGGUAAUACGUAGGGUGCGAGCGUUAAUCGGAAUUACUGGGCGUAAAGCGUGCGCAGGCGGUUUUGUAAGACAGGCGUGAAAUCCCCGGGCUCAACCUGGGAAUGGCGCUUGUGACUGCAAGGCUGGAGUGCGGCAGAGGGGGAUGGAAUUCCGCGUGUAGCAGUGNAAAUGCGUAGAUAUGCGGGAGGAACACCGAUGGCGAAGGCAAUCCCCUGGGCCUGCACUGCACGCUCAUGCACGAAAGCGUGGGGAGCAAACAGGAUUAGAUACCUGGUAGUCCACGCCCUAACGAUGUCAACUGGUUGUUGGGUAUUUCUUACUCAGUACGAACUACGCGUGAAGUUGACCGCCUGGGGANUACGGCCCCAAGGUU